rnacentral:rRNA from 1 species
CCUACGCGAGGCAGCAGUGGGGAAUAUUGCGCAAUGGGCGAAAGCCUGACGCAGCGACGCCGCGUGAGGGAUGAAGGUCUUCGGAUCGUAAACCUCUGUCAGCAGGGAAGAACGGUCACUGUGCUAAUCAGCAGUGAAUUGACGGUACCUGCAAAGGACGCACCGGCUACCUCCGUGCCAGCAGCCGCGGUAAUACGGAGGGUGCGAGCGUUAAUCGGAAUUACUGGGCGUAGAGCGCUCGUAGGCGGUAUGUCAAGUCAAGGGUGAAAUCCCCGCGCUCAACGUGGGAACUGCCUUUGAAACUGGCAACAGGGAGUGUGUGAGAGGAUAGUGGAAGUCCAGGUGUAGGAGUGAAAUCCGGAGAUAUCUGGAGGAACAUCAGUGGCGAAGGCGACUAUCUGGCACAUAACUGACGCUGAGGAGCGAAAGCGUGGGUAGCAAACAGGAGUAGAUACCCGGGUAGUC